GUUGGCGUACCCGGUGUCGACGGCCCGCGUCGGGCUGAUCACCCGGAUGUCGUCGUCCUCGGUGAAACGGCCCGGUUCGAUACCGGCGCCGACGCC
rnacentral:tRNA from 1 species